GUGGAAGACUCCAGAAUCCACUCUGGCUGGAACCGUGGAUACAGCAGUGUUACAGUUCUCCACAGUCGCUGUCCACAUGGGUCAGUGGGACAUAGAAGCACACUGCUAAUGUGGGACUCUGACCAGCAACAUCCAGCAAGACCCAGACAGCGUUUUCUAUCUCCCAGCUGAAGUUUUUUUGUUUGUCUGUGACUAGAGAGUCAGAUUUUUGUUGAGGCUGGAGGAACAGCCUUACACUUGCAGAGGUUAAUACAUGCUACUGAUCCCUGAUGGGAGAAUCUUCACCUCUGCCAACAAAGAAGCCUGGUGGAUAUUUGUUUACAGUCUGAUGAUGGGACAUCAUGCUCUGCAUCUUCAAAGUUUGUCUCUUGAUUAUUAUUGAUACACAAUAAUGUGAAGUAUGCUCAUAUCUAGUAUAACUGGACCAACCUGGUGCUCUUCAUUUAUGGAGGCUGUUGAGUCUGAAUGUUGGAUGUUGUGUAUCUCGUGUUCUCUGGGCUUUGUUGUCCUCAGUCUUUUUGCAGAAUCAGAAAACAAAACCAGGAUGACCGUAAAUGUUUCUUCUCCAAUUGGAUGAUGAUAAGACUGUGACACGGGAUGCCACCUUUAGUCUUGUGAUGAAGCAAAGCUCAGGAAGAAGUGUGAUUAAAUGGUACCCACAUGUGUGCUGCUGAGAAGGAUGUACAGGGGCACCUGCAGCCAAAUCCAAGCCUCCUCAGGUUAGUUGUAGUUGCAGAAUGCUUUAGGACUGAGACAGCUGAGGCAUCAAAUGUUUGAUUAAAGCGAUGAAAAAGAGAAGUUUCUUCCCUGUAAUUAUCACUUU